GGAACUCAGUCUCCCCUCUAUUGUUAUUUUCUCAUUCAUCUGCUCAUGCAGUACUUGUUGAAUGUGAACCAUGUGCCAGGCAUGGCUGCAAGUGCUGAGGCUGAAAAGAUGGCCAUGACAAUCUCCCUGUGCCCUGGACCCUCAGAGUCCAGGGAGAGAGCCAAUGAGCAUGCAUUCCAGGACUCAAACCUGCAUUUCCAGAAGUAGCUACUGGAAAUUCAGUGGAAACCAACUAAAGACAAAACUGCCCUUUGGUUUGAAGAAAACAAGUUUUUGGGUCCAGACCUGAGGAAGACUCUGAGGCAAAUGGAAGGUUAACCACUUCAUAUAAGAAAGUAGAAGGAAGGAAAAGUUACAGAAUGGGACAGGGACAGGGCUCCAGUCUCAGCCAUCAGUGCCCUCGAGGUGGUGCCGCAGUUUGUCAACUGACCAGGAGAGAUAACAAAACCAAAUUACACCAGAAAGCCGGUCAGGAAAAUGAGGAGACCCCGAAAAGCAGCAUCUCUGAAAGGAGACAGCAUCGGUGCUGCUCACUCCAACCUUGACAGGUGCUGCUCAGUCCAUGGUUUUCGCCUAUUGGAAACUUCCAAAAGGCCUAAUAAGAUCUGUUCCUUUGUCUGACUUGCCAUGUGAAAUGCCCCAGGCAUGGGCCCUGAGCCCGAGGAGUGUUCACCCCCUUCCUUACGAG
rnacentral:lncRNA from 1 species